UACAGAGGUGGCAAGCGUUAUUCGGAAUUAUUGGGCGUAAAGGGCGCGUAGGCGGCUUUGCAAGUGACGGGUGAAAUCCCUCGGCUUAACCGAGGAACUGCCUGUCAGACUGCAUGGCUUGAGACCAGGAGAGGUGAGUGGAAUUCCCAGUGUAGCGGUGAAAUGCGUAGAUAUCAGGAGGAACACCGGUGGCGAAGGCGGCUACCUGGACAGAAACUGACGCUGAGGCGCGAAAGCUAGGGGAGCAAACGGG
rnacentral:rRNA from 1 species